GUGUGAGUUAUCUGUAUGUUUUAAUUCCAGUCUCUUGCUCUCCCUGCUAUGCUGUAUGUACAUUCUGCAUUGGUGGCAAAUCCCAGUUUAUUUCCUAGCUUUUGGCUGAAAAUCACCAGAUGGUUGAUGAGUUCUGCUGCUGUUUAUAAAAAAUGGCAGAUCUAACUGGGGAGAUGAGCAAACUCUUGCUGGGGACUGACUUCAAUGUACAGGGCCAGGAGUUGGACUUCAGUGAUCCUGGUGGGUCCCUUCCAAAUCAGGAUAUUCUGUGACCGGUUUUAUGACGCAGCAGAAAAAACACCAUAUGCAGAGUCCUCUCAACAUGGCUGGGAUGGAAAUAAUGAGGAGCAUCAUGGUCCAUGAAGCAGAGUUCCCACCCCAAGGGAAGUCAGAGAGUCAGCUCACUAUUGGUUGUCUGGAAACAUAUUACAAACCUGGCACCUUCUCGACCCAAAAUUAAUUUCCAAGUAAUUUAUAUGAAUAAUAUUAGGUUUAUAUUGUGUGUGUGUCCAAUGUAUGUGCCUAGCUUGUUGUGAAAAUCCCAUACUCACAAUUUCAGAUGAUUCUGUACAUUAGACAGCAUGCUUCAGUUUCCUGGUUGGAUGUGGAUCAGGCUUCUGGGGAGGAUUUAUGUGAAUGAUAAAUAAUAGACCCUUCAGAAGAAGCCAGUGAACAUUCCUGUUAGAUUCUUAGCUUGCUCAAGUAUUUAUGGAACACUUGAUUACAUAAGUAUUAUGGGCUUAUUUUAAGUGAACAUUAAAUAAACCAAGUCACCACUCAGUUGAAUAUUUUCCCAGUUUCUAUAACAGAGACCUUGUAUACUUUCCACUGGCAUGGAGAACAAAAUGAAAAUCACUUUGAAAUUUUGCACUACUGCAAGUCUUAAGAACCAUGGAUUGUGUCCUCCAUAUGUAAAGAAAUGGCUUAAAUUAAUACUUCAUCAAACAAAGAAUUUUGGAAUAGAUUUUUUGACUUGUCUUGACACCUAGAUGGUAAUUUUGAGUUUCUCUCUGGAUUCAUGAUGGCCAGAGUUCGAUGAGGAAUACUGAGAUUCCCAGAAAAAAUUAUUAAAACCAUUGCAUAAUCUCAGACUGGAAAUAAAAUCACCAGAAUUGACACCACUAACGUGGUGCAGGUUUUCAGCUCCAUGAUCAGUGAGCUCAUCAUAAAUAUGCAGGUAGGGCCUGAUGGUUCAGAGCAGCUGAACACCUAUUGCUCCUGCUAAUACAGGCUGUGGGUGUUUGCUAAAAAUCAAUCCUUAAUGUUCCUCUAAGCUAAGGGAGAUGCGGGGAAUGGAGAUGUAGGGAAAGUGAAAACAUGAGCAGCUGCACCUAUCUCAGCAAUAAAACCUUGUUUGAUUGGGAAGGAAGAAGAAGAGCAAGAAGCAGCAUCAGCUGAAAUGAUAAUGAUCAAGGGGAAAGAGACCUUAGAAGUAAUGCAAAUUAUACUAUGCUGUUAAAAACUUGGAGAAACUGUGGGUUUGCAAACACAAAGAGAAAGGCUGGAAUAUUGCACAACAUCCUGGACAUGUUCAGAGGAUCAUGGCCACUCUGUGACGGUCUUCUGAUGUCAAAUGGAGCUGAGGAAAACCCAGAUUUCAUCUUGAAUCCACUGCAGCGACCAAAGCAUAUGAAAUGGCUAAGAAAAACAAAAACCCCAGCAAUCAACACCGCCUUCUUCAAACCACCUAAUGAAAAAGAAAACCACCCAAAGAAAAAGAAAAUCAAGCACAGAGGAGUAAUGAAGGAAUGUGAAUUGUGAAUUUCCCCAAAUAGCAAGAUGAUACAAAAUACCUUUCUCUCUGCAAAGUCUACACAAGGUGGCUACCUAAAAAUGCAGUCAAAUCUUCCUUUGACAAAUUGGCCAUGGGUGAUUUGUGCAUCCCAGCUGUAAAACUUAGUAAGUAAUGAAGUUUUCUACGUGCUUUUAAAAGACUCCAAGGAUGCUGCAGAACCAUCAGCUGUCAAAAUAGCAUUCCCCAGCUUGUGCACAGCAUGAACAAGUGCUCUUGCACCUGCCAAGUUCAAUUGCACAAGAGGAAGCACCAGCUGACCAGUGCGAAUCGAGA